CCUACGGGUGGCUGCAGUGAGGAAUAUUGGUCAAUGGGCUUACGCCUGAACCAGCCAAGUCGCGUGAGGGAAGACUGCCCUAUGGGUUGUAAACCUCUUUUGUCAGGGAGCAACGCCGGCUACGUGUAGCCGUACUGAGAUUACCUGAAGAAAAAGCAUCGGCUAACUCCGUGCCAGCAGCCGCGGUAAUACGGAGGGUGCAAGCGUUGUCCGGAAUCAUUGGGCGUAAAGAGUUCGUAGGUGGCAUAUUAAGUCUGGUGUUAAAUGCAGAAGCUCAACUUCUGUUCGGCACUGGAUACUGGUGAGCUUGAGUGCGGUAGAGGUAAAGGGAAUGCCUGGUGUAGCGGUGAAAUGCGUAGAUAUCAGGAGGAACAUCGGUGGCGUAAGCGCUUUACUGGGCCGUAAUUGACACUGAGGAACGAAAGCCGGGGUAGCAAAUGGGAUUAGAUACCCGAGUAGUC
rnacentral:rRNA from 1 species